UUAAACUGAACUCGCCUGGAUUCAGAUGAGGCACAGCUGUCUCAGAUCUCAGGAGCUUACAGUGUGCUGAGAGUCAUGCAUCUGCAUACUUAUUCAAACAUCUCCAGAUUCUUAGACUUCCCUCGCAAAGCAUUACACAUUUCUGUCAAUCAGCCGCCUCUUCUCUCCCCCCUCCUCCUCUUCCUCCUCUCUGUGCACUAAAACCAGGAGGAAAUCAUUUAUUCAUGACACCCGGCAUUCCAAAACCAGCAUUUCUGCCCGACUCUGAUUCGCAGGAAUGAGGAGAUAUUAUUAGAUGCACAACUAUGUCCUAAUGGGGCAACGAUUUCAUUCCCAAUUUGAAACUGCACUCACGUCUCUCUCUGAUUUCCAUGGCUUCUACAGCGUCUCAGCCUGGCGAGGUUAUGGCUGCCCCCCCCUUUUUUUUCCCCUUCUUUUUCCAAACAUUUGUAGAGCGCAGCUGUGAGACGUGUGUGACACAUCGGGUGGAGGGCGUCGUCCAGCUAAUCCAUUACAUUGAUAAAGCCGUGGAAAUGCCGAGUGAAUCGCGAGUUUCAUAAACCCACUUGACCCCUGCUGCAGUAACGCGGCAGAUUUACUGUGAUAGUGUUUGUGAGAGAUAAUUAGCAGAGCCAUUACUGAACCAUUACUGACAGUCAUUCUGUCUUAAGAGGAUCAUGAAUUAGCUCACUGGUCUGAUGAUGAUGAUGAUGAUGAGAUUCUUGGAAACCACUCAGUCAUUUAAUGUAACCUGAUGUGACACCAUGUGUGCAAGAAAUGCCACGAUGUCAGCUCGGUGAAUAGUUUCUCCCCCUCAGUUCAGCAUUAAAUGGGCUCUUCUUCUAUUUAGGAUUGCACUUGAUGGAUUUCUAAAAGAAACUCUGCGCUUUAGAGGAUGACUUUUGCUCCCUGCGAGUCAUGUAAUGUAGCUCAAAAGCAUGUUUUUAGAUUUCGCCUACCUCAUGAAAGCUACAUUUAUUUUUAAACCCCACCUCUUGCCCCAGUUUGUAAGACUGGAUAUCUGUCGUUAUGUGUAAUCUUCAAAUCAAAGCAGAAAUGACCCCGGUGUCUCUGUUCCCUUCAGACAGCGCCGUAUCUGCACAUGGCCAUGUCGAGCUCAGAAGACAGAUUUAUAUAAGCUACAGUGAUUGCAUGCGGAAACAAGUGAGCACUUUGUUGCUCCUCUUUAUCCCCGAUAAGACAUCAAGAUGCAGUGAGGGGUGUUUUGGGGGGGUUUUUUUUUUUUUGCAAGCGACUGAGUGCUGGUAGAAUUAUGCAUGAGAACAUGUGUUGUUCUGGGAUCGGUGACAUGAAUAUUAUAAAAUGAAGGAAGCUUUUUAUGAAAUCCUGAAUCAAGUGAUUUUAAAGACGUCUGCAAAAAAAAGUCAAACUUUACAUCCACAUCAAAUUGAUCCUGCUAACAGGAAGUGCUUGUAAAUCUAAAACCAAGUGUGGGCUAUUCUUCCACUGUUGUCCAAAGGUUAUUGCCAAAAUAUCAGCGUGCCACAGGGGUGACAUGUUUUCUUUUUUCUUUUCAUUACUAUGAAGUCGGGCACUGUGCUUUCUUUUCUGUCAGCCCAGCCUGGAGCUAUUGACUGCGCACCAAAUCUGCAGUCGAUGGUGGUCCCCAACAAUUGGCCAGGAGUUUUAAUAGUUUCUCAGGCUUUUCAGGGAAUGAAAGACCAGUUUUUCAAAGUGUCACUGGACAACUUUUCCCUCCCUGCGCUCGCUUUGCAAAGAUUGGAUCAUUUUCUCUUGUACCAGACUGUUAAGUAAGCAGGUUUGCCCACUUACUGAUUAAACCGAAUAUCUCAUUUGGAUCCUCCCAAGUCUCAGAGCUCUCUCCAAUCAUGUGAACGCCUGUCUGAGGUUCACUGCUGUUUAAUGUUUGGUUUCUUUUCCAUGUUUUUAACCUCCUCUGCCAGGAUGGCCCAUCUUCUUUUGUUGUAUUUUUUAUUCCAUCACAGAGCUUCUAGUAACCACUAGUUCAGGCACCUGAGGAAAGCUACUUGUUGUAGUUGCAGAAUCAAGGCUUCAUUUUUCUGGGAAGUUUUCUACAAAGUGGCAGACACAGCUGCAUGAAAGAGAGGCUUACAGAGAACCAAUCUACGGUUGACUGUUAAGUCACAGAAGCCACUGAGCGGUCAUGUGGGUGGUUUUCUUCAGAGUCUACUGUGGAAAAUUUUAAUAUCCUGCCAGGUGCUUCAGUGAAGGACUGCAGUGGUUCUGCCAGCUCAGAGGUGCAAAUGUGUGCAAGGUGAAACCUCCAGCGAUCGCAUGAAAACUUACCCACAUAGUUGAGCAAAUAACAAGAAGAAUAUAGAAGCUAAUGGUAUGAUUCAAUUCAGCAGAAAGGCAGCGAAGGAGUAAACACAGUGCCUGAUAUUUACAUUUUCAGAAACAAGGUUUUCAAUUUUUUUUUUCUCUUGUCACAAGAAUAUUUAUGAAAUAUCCAUCAGAGUGCUACCAAGCAACACAGAUGUGUAAAGCACGGCCCAGUGAUAAAUAAUCCAAAGCUUGCAGAGGAUGAGGGAGACAGUGAGCGAGCACAAAAGCUAUUCUGUUUUGCUCUCAAACAGAAUUCAGACACCGUGGGUGAGGAAAAUCAAUCUAGUCAACCUAGAGAGCGCGAGAGAGAGCGAGGGGGAGAAGAAAUGAGAACCGUGAGAGGCUUUGAUUAUUGUGAUGGACUUAAGUCAGCUCUGCGAAAGCCACUUCAUACGUUGCCGCUAUUUAUCAAAUCAGAAAUGCAUUUGCAUCACAUUUUCCUGCACUUGCGGCUGCUUGGAAGGAAAAUUAGCAGAGGUGCCGGUCCCACAGAUUUAUAAAAAAUGGACAUUUUGAUUAAUAGAUGCUUUUUUUUUUUCCUUUUUCUUUUGUGAAGCCACAAUUCAAUCCAAAGGACACGUAAUUAAUUGAAUUGCAGCUGUCAAGAUCCGGGGCUUCACUGAGUCAACAGAGCUGUCGAGGACAGAUAGCCGCCCUCCGCAGCUCUGCCUGUCUUUCAGCGGCUCAGGAAAAACUCACAACAGUAUUAACAGAAGAUAACGCAGGAUUUAGAUGAGCAGCGCCCAGUUUUGUUUUGUCGUCUUGUUUUUUUCAGACCAAGCACCAACCGCAUCCAGAGGAGCCAGGCUCUGUGUGCAUGUAUUCAGUCAAGGUUCCUCAAAUCAAAGCAGGCAAUUCUGUAAUAAUCUCAGAGCCCGUACUGUUCAGCAUGCAGAUGUGAAAGCACUGAUAACCUUGAAAAAUAAAUACACACAUCUGCUGUAACAGGAGACAGCUUAUGAUUACAUACACUAUGGAUAAUGAUGCCUCUGUGUUCUGUAAUGAUGGGCCCAUGUGUUGUGUGUGUGUGUGUGUGUGCAGGGUAAAUGAGAGACACACACACUGGUAGGUUUGGAUAACUUUUCUCCCUUAAUCACUGAAAUUAUCAUUUGAAAGCUACAUUUAGUAUUUACUCAGGUUAUCUUUGUCUAAUAUUAACAUUUGCUUGAUGAUCUGAAACAUAUGUGACAAAUAGUGUGAUAAAUGUAAGGGGUCAAACGCUUUCAGUUUCCUAUUCAGACCCCUUAGUACCAACUGAACACGGUUUAAACAGCACAGUCUGAGUAUUGUUGAUGACUGUCUCCAGGAAGUCAUGUCACAAAGCUCAAAUUUUAUUUAUGUCUUUAACCUUUAUUUAACCAGGUUACUCCCACCAGGAACCAAGAUCCUUUUUUUCCCUUUUUAAACAAAGGAGACACGACCAAGAGGGCAAUUAAAUUGAAUUAGCAACAUUAAACUUUUUCUUCACCGGGAAACAUACGCAACCUGAUGUGUAGAUCUGGAGAAAUGCAGCUACAUGUCAGGUUGACCUGUAAAAAGUUGUAAUUCAUUUCUCAUGUUGGACUCCUACUAUAUAUAUAUAUGUGAGCAAAACUUUGUCCUUAUAGAAUUGUUGGAAAUUAUUAACUGCAUCUCCUGACAUAAUACCCAGCUGUUUCGGGGGGGGUGGUGUUAAACAACACACAGAGGACAUUAGGUCAGACUAAAGGGCAGAAAUGUUAUUGUAUGAAAAGAAUCAGAAUAUCUGAAAUAUUUAAAACUUUAAGAUAUGUUGUAAAUAAAAUAAAAAGUAUUUUAAAAAGGGUGUGUUUUGUGGCAAAAAGCUAUUUCAGUUUCAAAAAGAACUGAUUCUUUGUGACUCAUAUUUGAUCUCGUUAAUAAAGUAACUUUCAUAAAUUUGAAAAUAUUAUCGGUAUUUCAUUUUUAAAUUUACAUAACAUUCAUGGAUUUUAUUUAAUCUAAAAAACACAUUUUUAGAACUUUCCAGUUUCCCUUCAGCUUUCCAUUUAUGAAGCUUAUUUUAAAAAAAAAAAAAAAAAGUACAGUAACAUCAAUGUUAUCGAUUACCAGUGCAAUUCAUUAAAAUCUAGUCACUUAAACUUAUACAUCCAGAUUAUAACAACCUCUGCUGUUAUAGUGACUCAAUUUAAUAUAGAGUAUAUUUUUGCAAUUGUAAUUUUUAUUACUAGCACUACUCCAGUGCUGAAGAAUCUCCAUGAACAGCUUCUUUCAUUUGCACAUCUGUCCUCAGAUUAGUUAGAUUCAAAAGAGCAAACUGGCACUGAUGCCAAAAACUACUUUCCACAGGUGAUCUUUAAAGAUUUUUUUAUUAAAUAAGUACAAACAAGGUGUUACUGCAGAGUUGUUUCCUAAUAAAUACCAGUAUGACACUAAUGAAGUGUUCGAGGUGUAAAGACCUCUGUUGAAACAAAAACAAACAGUAUUCAUAUACUGAGAGCAUGAGCAACAGGAGCACUACUUUGCAUGUAAAACCAGUGUGUUAUGUAACAAGGAGACAGUACAGUGGCAGAGGUCUUUCCUAUAUGCUUGGCACUCUGGUGGUUGGAUGAUUAAGGAGCCCCAAACCACAUAUAAGCCCAAGACAUCCA